AUACCAGGACCACAGAGAGAGACCAGCUACAGAAUAGUCUAAAUACCAGGACCACCGAGAGAGACCAGCUACAGAAUAGUCUAAAUACCAGGACCACUGAGAGAGACCAGUUAAAUACCAGGCUUAGGUUCUAUGAGAAACCCUGUCUGAAGGAAUGGUGGAAGUUUGGCACCAGCUGUUAUUAUGUCUCCUCCACGAGGGACUCAGGCAGGGAAGGUCAGCGGCAGUGCAAAGCAAUGGGUGCUGACCUGGUUGUUAUGAACAGCAGAGAAGAACAGAUAUUUAUCCAUGGAUUAAAGAAGAAUGUCUGGAUUGGUGCAACUAAAAAAAACGGAAUCUGGGAGUGGGUUGACGACACAGCAAUUAAACAUACCUAUUGGAUGGAAGGGGAACCAAGUAACUUGAAUGACGAGGUGGCUUGUAUUGAGAUCUCAAAGACGGCAUCAGACCCAUUGAAGAGUUGGAAGGUUGUAAAAUGUACUUCAAAUUACUGGGUGUGUGAAAAACCGUUCACACCGUAGUCUAAUUAUAAUAACUAAUGUAAGCCCCUAUCUUAUGGAGUUGCACUGGUUUUCCCUUUGUUAGGCUUAACGUGUUUCUAUGUGUAUCUACAUUGAAAUAUGUAUUUGAUGUCUUUAAAGAGACCAGGGCUAUGUGGAGUUUGUCCACCGUUCAUCAGGCCCAGGGGAGUGGAACUGUGGUCUAGUAGGCUCUAACUGUGGUCUAGUAGGCUCUAACUGUGGUCUAGUAGGCUCUAACUGUGGUCUAGUAGGCUCUAACUGUGGUCUAGUAGGCUCUAACUGUGGUCUAGUAGGCUCUAACUGUGGUCUAGUAGGCUCUAACUGUGGUCUAGUAGGCUCUAACUGUGGUCUAGUAGGCUCUAACUGUGGUCUAGUAGGCUCUAACUGUGGUCUAGUAGGCUCUAACUGUGGUCUAGUAGGCUCUAACUAUGGUCUAGUAGGCUCUAACUGUGGUUGACUUUUUUUUAAACUAUAUUUACAAUUUUUACCAUUUAAUGUGUGCAUAUAACAAUUGAAUAAGAUUCUGUUUUCAUUUAAGUUUUUACAGUUAUCAAUCCAUUUCAAAUGCAGCAGUGUUCUGUUUCCUUCCAUUCCAUAUGUACCAUGUGUUCAUUCUACUGAUUAAAUACAUCUAUAUACUGUGAUCUAGGUAUGUCAUUUACUUGUCAGGUAUACUGUAAUACUAAGUGUUGUAAUGUAUGAAUAGUAACUCCAAUGUUUUCCUUCUAAA